UACAGAGGGGGCGAGCGUUGUCCGGAUUUAUUGGGCGUAAAGAGCUCGUAGGCGGUGUGUCGCGUCGGCCGUGAAAACCUGCAGCUUAACUGUGGGCUUGCGGUCGAUACGGGCAUCACUGGAGUUCGGCAGGGGAGACUGGAAUUCCUGGUGUAGCGGUGAAAUGCGCAGAUAUCAGGAAGAACACCCGUGGCGAAGGCGGCUCUCUGGGACGGUACUGACGCUGGGACGCGAAAGCGUGGGGAGCGAACAGG
rnacentral:rRNA from 1 species